UUUUUGUUGAGAACUGUAAGACCCCCUUUUGGGGACCCCUACUCUAGUCUCGGGAGUGUGAGAGCACCCAAAGAAACACGAGGACAC
rnacentral:pre_miRNA from 7 species